rnacentral:rRNA from 1 species
AGAGUUUGAUCCUGGCUCAGCCUGAACGCUGGCGGCGUGCCUAACACAUGCAAGUCGAGCGCGAAAGCCCCGCAAGGGGUAAGUAGAGUGGCAAACGGGUGAGUAACACGUGGGUGACCUGCCUCAGAGUGGGGGAUAACGACCCGAAAGGGUCGCUAAUACCGCAUAACAUCCUGCCUUUGGAUAGGUGGAGAUCAAAGCCGGGGAUCGCAAGACCUGGCGCUUGGAGAGGGGCCCGCGGCCGAUUAGCUAGUUGGUGAGGUAACGGCUCACCAAGGCGGCGAUCGGUAUCCGGCCUGAGAGGGCGGACGGACACACUGGGACUGAGACACGGCCCAGACUCCUACGGGAGGCAGCAGUGGGGAAUUGUUCGCAAUGGGCGCAAGCCUGACGACGCAACGCCGCGUGGAGGACGAAGAUCUUCGGGUCGUAAACUCCUUUCGAUCGAGAAGAAUGCCUUUGGGUUUAAUACGCCUGAAGGGUGACGGUAUCGAGAGAAGAAGCCCCGGCUAACUCUGUGCCAGCCGCCGCGGUAAUUC